AGGUGGCUCAGCGGUAAAGCAUCCGCCUGCAAAGCAGGAAACAUGGGUUCGAUCCCGCCCU
rnacentral:tRNA from 1 species